UGACCUCGGAUCAGACAUGAUUACCCGCUGAACUUAAGCAUAUCACUAAGCGGAGGAAAAGAAACUAACAAGGAUUCCCCUAGUAACUGCGAGUGAACAUGGAUCAGCCCAACACCGAAACCUGCGGUUAAUUGAUCGUGAGGCAAUGUGGUUUUUAGGUUGGCUUCAGGCAUUACUGCUCUACCCCAGGUCCAGCAAUGAGUAC
rnacentral:ncRNA from 1 species